rnacentral:rRNA from 1 species
UACGUAGGGUGCAAGCGUUAAUCGGAAUUACUGGGCGUAAAGCGUGCGCAGGCGGUUAUGUAAGACAGAUGUGAAAUCCCCGGGCUCAACCUGGGAACUGCAUUUGUGACCGCAUAGCUAGAGUACGGUAGAGGGGGAUGGAAUUCCGCGUGUAGCAGUGAAAUGCGUAGAUAUGCGGAGGAACACCGAUGGCGAAGGCAAUCCCCUGGACCUGUACUGACGCUCAUGCACGAAAGCGUGGGGAGCAAACAGG